rnacentral:misc_RNA from 1 species
AGGGCUUGACAUGCCGGGUGAAGCUGGUGAAAGCCAGUGCCUCUUCGGGGGCCGGCACAGGUGCUGCAUGGCUGUCGUCAGCUCGUGCCGUGAGGUGUUGCCUUAAGUGGCGCAACGAGCGCAACCCCUGUUCCAUGUUGCCAGCGGGUAAUGCCGGGGACUCAUGGGAGACUGCCGGUGUCAAACCGGAGGAAGGUGGGGAUGACGUUUCCAGGUUAGG